rnacentral:lncRNA from 1 species
UCGGCAUAUAGCACGGCCUACUCUCAGUUCGGCGGUCUUCUGGCAUUGCCAGGCUUCGUCUCACCCCAUUGAGCACGGCAACGUCUCUUUAUCAAAUGGCUUUCCCGAAGGAGCAUAGGGUCCAGAAUCAACUGCGACCGGCUUCCCGUUGUCCAGGGGGUAUCCCAAAUAAGGAUAACGUCCAGCUCAACAGCCCGGGACGAUUUCUCAUAACCAUCAUACGAUCACUCAAAUAUAGCCCAGGACACCGUGCAUUGCACUCAAAUGCUUCAAUUAAAAUGGUGAGCCUGGCCUUUUUCUUUGUAUUAGAAAUUCACAUGAAAUUACUCGUGUGUGGGUACACGGUCAACUUGAUCUAGAAAAAUUGAUAUUCCUCCUUUUUGAAAUCCCACUAUUUCAUAUAGUACUAAAAACCAUUUUCGGUAUCAAAACCCGACACCUGGGAUUUUCU